CCCCAACGCCCCCAACGCCCCCAACGCCCCCAACACCGAGGCCAGCAGCACCAUCGUGAAGAAGAGCUAUGUGAACUACAACAGCCUGGCGAGCUAAAGCCUGCACCCCGCACGCGAGGCAGGCCUCCUCCAGCGCUCUCCUGCUCUCCUGCUCUCCUGUCUGGACGGAGGGACAGACAGACUCUGGCGUAGCCACGCCCCCAACCCUCCCUGAAGGUCAUGGGCCAACGCGUUCCCCCGGGGGCGCUGAAGAACCUUGUAAAACCUUGUAGAAACACAACCGUACAAUUACCGCUACGGGCUGAAACCAAAACAGUGUCUGUGGAAAUGAAAGACAAGCUUUGCUCUCCUUAGUCCCUGAAAGGGAGGAGGAGAUGGACUAGAGCCCCCUGGAGGACGCUGGUGCGUGGUUGGCCCUGGGUUCGAACCCUUUGCGGGACGGACUCACUCGAGCCUGCUCUUCCACAGUGCGGUUUUUACACACAUCUGUGAGAUUAUUUUUUCAAUCUUACACGCCUGUCACUGAUCGCUCCAGUUUUUCAUCUGUUUUUACAUUUGUUUGCUUGCUAGUUGCACAAAUUAUUAAAGCCAUAUUCUCUAUAUCAUUCAAAUUUUAUCAUAUUUACAUUUUUUAUGUUUUAAGUUGUUUUAUUGUCUGUAUCUGUGCGCAAUGAUAUCAAAGAGAGUGAUGUGAGAUAUUUGUAAAAAAUAUAACAAAAAAAAAAUAUGAGUCAUUCACUUUCCCUACUUCCCAAAAUCUCUUUGACAUUUUCUCAACAUUUCCCUUGAAAAAGAAAGGUUUGAAAUUCCCUUGUUUUCAGUAUUGAAUGGUUUCUAUCCAGGACCAUAGAUAUACAUGUUUAAAUGAGUGGGUCCCAUCCAGGACCAUGGAUAUCUAGGUGUAAGACGCGUUGGGUUUUGGGUUUUGGGUGAAGGCUGUCCAUGAACACAGUUACACACCGUCCACCUGCAUGCCUGUUAUGUUUAUUGAAGAAUAAUGUGUAAGAUAUCAUUUCCUGCCGGAAUUCUUUCUUUUUCCUCUGGCAGUACCUUUCUCAUGGCAGAAUAUGGCUUUAAUCCACCUGGGAGAUUAUUACUGCCUGCAACCAUGCAAAAGGAGUGAGAAAAAUGAGUUGUAUAUAAAUAUAUAAAUAUAUAUUUAAAAAUGGAAAAGCAUGUAUGUUUUAUACUGUUUGUACUGGAUGUAUUUAUGCUUGUGUGCCUGUGCAAGGCCACUCAUCUCAGUAUCCUGUGGUUUUGUCCAGUGUGUCCACAUGAAAUAAACCCAUUUUGUUAUCUUUUGUAUUCCCA